CCUACGGGAGGCAGCAGUGGGGAAUUUUCCGCAAUGGGCGAAAGCCUGACGGAGCAAUACCGCGUGAGGGAUGACUGCCUAUGGGUUGUAAACCUCUUUUCUCAGGGAGGAAAUCAAUGACGUUACCUGAGGAAUAAGCAUCGGCUAACUCCGUGCCAGCAGCCGCGGUAAGACGGAGGAUGCAAGUGUUAUCCGGAAUCACUGGGCGUAAAGCGUCUGUAGGUGGCUUAACAAGUCAACUGUUAAAUCUUGAAGCUCAACUUCGAAAUCGCAGUCGAAACUGUUAGGCUAGAGUAUAGUAGGGGUAAAGGGAAUUUCCAGUGGAGCGGUGAAAUGCGUAGAGAUUGGAAAGAACACCGAUGGCGAAGGCACUUUACUGGGCUAUUACUGACACUCAGAGACGAAAGCUAGGGUAGCAAAUGGGGAUUAGAUACCCCAGUAAGUCCUAGCCCGUAAACAAUUGGAUACUAAGAUGUUGGGGCAGGAUCGACCUGUUCAGUAUUCAAAAGCCUAACCGCGUUUAANGUNAUCCCGCCCUGGGAAAGUAUGCCGCGCAAGCCGUUGAAACUCAAAGGAAUUGACGG
rnacentral:rRNA from 1 species